GCAAAUAAAGACAAUGUGACCAUAAGACCAUAAAAUUGGAGGGGAAAACAUCCACAGUGCAAAUACUAUACAUUAACUGAGAGCAUCCAUGGAUACAGAAGUGCCACCACAUUUAAUCAUAUAGAUUCACUUAUCAUACAGAUUCAGAGUGGGGACCAAGAUAUGUACAUACAGAAACAGGUUAAUCACAAUAAACCUUCUAUGAUUAUAUGAAACAUUCUUGGCUAAAGCAGGGAACAGAGGGAAGAAUUUGAAUGAAAGAUUGAGAUCAAUCUUGAUCAACCAAUUUCUUCAGACAAUUAGGCUUUUGCUAAUAGUUUAUGACCUUUUUUUUAAGACAAUAAGCAUGAACUACAUUGCUCCAUAGCUUUCCCGCUUUCAGAUAGUCUCAAAUAUCUAUCAUCAAGUAGUUAUAAAUUUUCAUAAAUACAGUAUCUCUAUUACUUAAGAUUACCACCAACCAUUUUACCUA
rnacentral:misc_RNA from 1 species